AACCAUUCUCACCUGCGGCUAGACCUGCGGAAGGAUCAUUAUCAAGAGUGUAUGACCCCCUUAUAAAAUAGUGGGGUUAACCUCCCGUCCUUUGAAGGUCCCUCUUUGUUGAGGGUAAUUUGAAACCUUCUGCUUCGGUGGGUCUACUCACCGGAACAACCUCAAAAUUCUUUGUUCAACAGUUCAGUCCGAGUGGUAUAUUUUAAAAUUUUGAAAAACUUUCAACAAUGGAUCUCAGAU
rnacentral:misc_RNA from 1 species